UACGUAGGGUGCGAGCGUUGUCCGGAAUUACUGGGCGUAAAGAGCUCGUAGGUGGUUUGUCGCGUUGUCCGUGAAAUUCCCUGGCUUAACUGGGGGGCGUGCGGGCGAUACGGGCAGACUGGAGUACUGCAGGGGAGACUGGAAUUCCUGGGUGUAGCGGUGGAAUGCGCCAGAGUAUCAGGGAGGAACACCGGUGGCGAAGGCGGCUCGUCUGGGGACGGUCACUGAC
rnacentral:rRNA from 1 species